rnacentral:ncRNA from 2 species
GCGCGGGGUAGCAUCCCAAGGCUCGGCGGGUGACGAGGAAACCGGUGCAAAUCCGGUGCGGUCGCGCCACUGUGAAAGCCAGACCCUCUGGGCUUGCCCACUCCGC